rnacentral:misc_RNA from 1 species
UUUCCGUAGGUGAACCUGCGGAAGGAUCAUUACAGUAGUCGCCCGGGUUGCCGCAAGGCCUCCCGGGUAACCUACCACCCUUUGUUUAUUACACUUUGUUGCUUUGGCAGGCCUGCCCUCGGGCUGCUGGCUCCGGCCGGCGAGCGCUUGCCAGAGGACCUAAACUCUGUUUGUCUAUACUGUCUGAGUACUAUAUAAUAGUUAAACUUUCAACAACGGAUCUCUUGGUUCUG